ensembl:lncRNA
CAAAGAUGAGUCAUGAAAGGAAAACUAGUACUAUACUAGUCAAUUCUAAAAUAAUCACCAGCUCGACAGCUGUUGAUGAAACUUUCCCUAGAAAUACACUGCAUUAAAUCAUCUGUUGGUGUUUUUUCGGUCGAUUUAAGGUCCGGUUUAGACGACGAGCGUUUCUUUAGAGAUCUCAAAUAAAAUGUGUUCAACAGUGCAGACUUGAAACAGCACUCAGGGUGUGGUGAUAAAGAAUUUUCAUAUCCUAUAACCUUUGGUUAACCUUAUCUCGGUUUACUGUAUUAUCAUGAGGUUAAGUUUAAAUUGAACUGUUAUAGUUGGGUGAACUAUAUUUAAAUAUAUAAGAGUGGCAUAGCUCCAGCUCAGUAGUCACAAGGUCAGUACUGAGCUUGCAUUACAGUCUGCAUGUUCGUUCCAUGUCUGCGUAGGUUUCCUCCAGGUUCUCCAGUUUCCUCCCUCAACCAGACCAGUAGGUGGAUUCUGAAUGAAAAUCAAACUUCGAUUGCCAUAGUGUGUGAAUGUAUGCAUGCAGGAUGCUCUGUGAUGGACUGGCAUCCCAUCCAGGGUGUGUCCAAUCCCCCCCUCACCCCCCUGAUCCGGAUCCAGUGCGUACUGACUUGGAUAAACAGGUUACUGAGGAUCAAUGAAUGACUGAAUGAACAUUUUAACCGAAAAAAAAGUCCUUUCCCCAGGUUCAUAGAAGUCCCAGUAGUUUGGGGGAAGUAGUGGCUCAGUGAUUAAGGCUUUGGCCUGUUGAUCAGAAAGUCAUGAGUUCAAAGCCUAGUACUGCCAAGCUGGCACAGUGGGAAAUUUUUAGGAGAAACGACAGCGUGUCAUGUAACCGAUUAUCGGCACAUGCCUAAGCAGCAAAGGUUUUUGUCCUUUGUAACUCUGAUUUGCCUGUCUCAUGUUUAAUCCUGUCCUUUGCUCAAAUAGUUGGAGUGAAGACCUCAGGUCUGAAUACUAGCACAAUUCUGGAGAAUCAUGCUGCGUAUAAAUACUGCGUAUGAAUUACUGGCACAAUCUGAAUUCUUUGUUUCCUCAUUGAAGUGUUGAAUCUAAAAUGCCUCCACGCACCUGAACUGACGUUUGCAUUACAAUGCUAAUUACUGUCCUGAACUGUACAUAGAGGUUUCUGCAUUGUAAAUGCAUUAGGU